UGACCCCAUUCCCCGUCUAUCCUGCCCCGUUCCUACUCAGAGCUAUGCUCGCCGUUCCCCUCGCCGCGCCAUCUCUCUCCCCCAGCCAGUAUCCUGCCCUGUGUCUGCACAACCUCCGUUCCAUCUGGCCGGUACGCCGUACCCCUCGGCGGUUGUGCAACGACGGCCGCACAACCUGGCAGCCGACAAUCUCACAAACUCAAGGUCGUGCUCAUCUUCACCAUGACCAUGGACUGCGGUCCACCUCAUCGGACCUCUGCUCCACAUGCAACCCUGGACUGCGGUCCACCUCGUCGGAAUGCCAUCUAUGUUCGGGAAUGAAGCCAUCACUAGUGGACUACUACAGGACUCGCCCACCCCAUCCCCAUCUGGCCUAGGGCUAGAGUCAUCUCUCUUGAUGCACGUGGAGCCACAAUAAUGAAGCAGGAGAUAUGCUCAAGGGUACCCCACCUCUGAUCCCUCCAUCCUCCGCGCCACCCAUGCACCCUGCUCCCAGGCCACCUGCACCGGCCCCCACUGCUCGAUGCACACGCCGAAAUCUGGUCGCAAAACAUGCAUCCCCAUUUUGGUCGCAGUCUUAGUUUGUUUCCAUGUCCAAUGUUCUAUGCUUCCACUUAAGAUGAGUCAUAUUGAGAUUUCGUAUUUUUCAUGCUUCCUACAGUUGUUCUUGCCAUGGUCAUCACCAUUCAACAUGCCACGCUUCCAUAUUAUAUUAC
rnacentral:rRNA from 1 species